GACGAACGCUGGCGGCGUGCCUAAUACAUGCAAGUUGAGCGCUGAAGGUUGGUACUUGUACCGACUGGAUGAGCAGCGAACGGGUGAGUAACGCGUGGGGAAUCUGCCUUUGAGCGGGGGACAACAUUUGGAAACGAAUGCUAAUACCGCAUAAAAACUUUAAACACAAGUUUUAAGUUUGAAAGAUGCAAUUGCAUCACUCAAAGAUGAUCCCGCGUUGUAUUAGCUAGUUGGUGAGGUAAAGGCUCACCAAGGCGAUGAUACAUAGCCGACCUGAGAGGGUGAUCGGCCACAUUGGGACUGAGACACGGCCCAAACGCAUACGGGAGGCAGCAGUAGGGAAUCUUCGGCAAUGGACGAAAGUCUGAGCGAGCAACGCGGAGUGAGUGAAGAAGGUUUUCGGAUCGUAAAACUCGGUUGGUAGAGAAGAACGUUGGUGAGAGUGGAAAGCUCAUCAAGUGACGGUAACUACCCAGAAAGGGACGGCUAACUACGUG
rnacentral:rRNA from 1 species